GCUGGUGUAGCACAAUCGGUAGUGCGCAUCACUCGUAAUGAUGAGGUUGGAGGUUCAAGUCCUCUCACCAGCACCA
rnacentral:tRNA from 1 species